rnacentral:precursor_RNA from 15 species
AGGUAUGGACCUGUUAUUCAUCAGACUGAUAAGACCAACAGGUGUUAUUCUCAUGUGUGAUGUACAGAUCUGUGAAUACAUCUGCUGGUUUUUAUUAGGCUCGAUGAUAGAUCAACUCUUGCACU